AUAAUUACAUUUUUUCGCUAUAAUUAUAAAAACACGAUUACAAUCAUCGUGUAUGUUACAAUUCAUUCUCAAAUGAAGUUGGAUUUCAGAAUGACGAUGAUUAUUGUUAGCCAAUUGAAAUAAUAUAUAAUAAUGAAACAUACACUUAAAGAUCUACAACAAGCAUGACCUUGUGCAGGGAAACCGGAAGAUAUCCAUUAGAAGAAGC
rnacentral:lncRNA from 1 species